AUGAACGUUGGCGGCGUGGAUUAGGCAUGCAAGUCGUGCGAGAAACCAAUUAGCUUGCUAUGAGGUGGACAGCGGCGAAAGGGAGAGUAACGCGUGGUUACGUGCCCUCGGGACCGGGAUAGUGUCGGGAAACUGGCAGUAAUACCGGAUAACAUCUUUGGAUCAAAUGGUGUGAUUCCGCCCGAGGAUCGGACCGCGUACUAUUAGCUUGUUGGCGGGGUAACGGCCCACCAAGGCUGCGAUGGUUACCGGGUGUGAGAGCAUGGCCCGGCUCACUGGGACUGAGACACUGCCCAGACAUCUACGGAUGGCUGCAGUCGAGAAUCUUCGGCAAUGGACGAAAGUCUGACCGAGCGACGCCGCGUGCGGGAUGAAGGCCCUCGGGUUGUAAACCGCUGUCAGUUAGGAGGAAAUCCAUGAGGGUUCUCUCUCAUGGUUGACCGAUUUUCAGAGGAAGGACGGGCUAAGUUCGUGCCAGCAGCCGCGGUAAU
rnacentral:rRNA from 1 species